UGGGGAAUCUUGGACAAUGGGCGCAAGCCUGAUCCAGCCAUGCCGCGUGGAUGAUGAAGGCCCUAGGGUUGUAAAAUCCUUUCGUCAGGGACGAUAAUGACGGUACCUGAAGAAGAAGCCCCGGCUAACUUCGUGCCAGCAGCCGCGGUAAUACGAAGGGGGCUAGCGUUGUUCGGAAUUACUGGGCGUAAAGCGCAUGUAGGCGGGUCGUUAAGUCGGGGGUGAAAGCCCAGAGCUCAACUCUGGAACUGCCUUCGAUACUGGCGACCUGGACCCAAGGAGAGGCGAGUGGAAUUGCGAGUGUAGAGGUGAAAUUCGUAGAUAUUCGCAGGAACACCAGUGGCGAAGGCGACUCGCUGGACUUGUGGUGACGCUGAGAUGCGAAAGCGUGGGGAGCAAACAGGAUUAGAUACCCUUGUAGUCCCUGAGCGGGCUGGCAAGGCGCAU
rnacentral:rRNA from 1 species